rnacentral:tRNA from 1 species
GAGAAGGACUCAAACCUUCAUCCCCGGCCCCCAAAACCGGAAUCUUUCAAUUAAACUACCCUUUG